GUCUUAUUGAAAAUAAUUUUAAGUCUAAUCUGCUCAAUGAAUAAAUUUUAAAUAGCUGCAGUAUAAAUAACUGUACAAAGGUAGCAUAAUAAUUUGUUUUUUAAUUGAAAACUAGAAUGAAUGAUUUAAUGAAAUAUAAACUGUAUCAAAUUUAAAUAAUAAAUUUAUUAUUUAAAUAAAAAAAUUUAAAUAAUUUUUAAAGACGAGAAGACCCUAUAGAAUUUUAAUAAUAAUUUAAUUUAAUUAAAAUUAAAUUAUUAUAUUAAUUGGGGAAAUUUUAAAAUUUUAAAAAUUUUUAAUUAAAAAAACAUAAAUUUUUGAAUAUUUAUUAUUUUUUAAAAAAAUAAAUUAAUUACCUUAGGGAUAACAGCAUAAUUUUUUUAAAAAGUUCAAAUUUAUAAAAAAGUUUAU
rnacentral:rRNA from 1 species